AUGGAAUGGAGCUGGAUCUUUCUCUUCCUUCUGUCAGUAACUGCAGGUGCCCACUCCCAGGUCCAGCUGCAGCAGUCUGGAGCUGAGCUGGUGAAGCCUGGGGCCUCAGUGAAGAUGUCCUGCCAGGCUUCUGGUUACAAAUUCAAUAGCUUCAACAUAGACUGGGUGAAGCAGAGCCAUGGAAAGACCCCUGAGUGGAUUGGAUAUAUUAAUCCUGGAAAUGGUGCUACUGGCUACAAUCAAAAGUUCAAGGGCAAGGCCACACUGACUGCAGACACAUCCUCCAGCACAGCCUACAUGCAACUCAGCAGCCUGACAUCUGAGGACACUGCAGUCUAUUACUGUGCAAGACACAGUGUUGCAACCACAUCCUGA